CGCAGCCACAAGUCCCAGACACCUCGGCCACGGGAAUAAAUAAGGAAAUAAACAAACCCAGCGCUCUCUGGGGGAAAUGGGGGCGGCGAACAUCAGGCACAAAUAGAGCCAAGAUCGAUUUCCUUAGGGAGGGGGAGGGGGCUCUUGGCAAAGGGAGGUGGGAGCCCCCGUCGCCCCCGGCGCCCCCGAUUGGGAAGAAAUCAGAUUGUUUAGGGUGGAACGGGGUCCCUUGGAGGAGGCACGAGAGUCCUUUUAUUCUUUUAAAAUUAUUUUUUUCCGAGGAGGAGCUCUCGGCAAACGAAUAUCGAGGCGCCGCUCGAGCUGGUUCAGUUGGGGACGCGAUAACUCAGCGCCGGCUUGCAGACCUGCGUAGAAGAUUCGCAGUUUUGGGGGGCUCACCGAUGGCCAUAACGUCUAAGCGCCCCAUGGCGGAUGCGCUCCAGCUUUUGCGCGCGGCUGGAAACGCGCUGGGUGCGGUGGCGAAACGUACAGCGUAGACGUUCCCAGAAGAGCUAGAGGCCUGUCCCGGAGUGAGCAAGCGAGCGCCGGGCCUUCCGCAAGGGUAAGCUCCCCGCCAAGGGGCCGAGAGGGAAGCAGACGUCGGAAUCUGGCCUCGCACCCCAGCUUCGGGGUUCCAUUCCGGGUUUCGCUCGCGCCUAACCCUCAGGGCUUUCCGAAGCAGGGCCUGGCUCCAGGCCCGGGCCGUUUGGGGCCGGAGCGGCCGCGAAAAGCCAGGAACGCCGCCGACCGAACAGCCCCAGGAGCCAAGGUCAGGCCCGCGGGGAGAACGGGCAGUGGUUUCCAGCGCAGGACACGGGCGCCCGGGGCCAACCGGGCCGCAGACUCUGCUGCUUCCAGCAAGCAGGACCCGCGUCCCUCCGUCUGGCCAGGCCGCACUGACCGACCCCAAAUUCUCUUCCGUUUCCCAAGUUAUUAACAAUUAUCUUUUCCUCCAUCUGAGGUCCGUUGGGUGCAGCAUUUGCUUCCAGACGCCGAAAGUGCGAGCCGAAAUCCUUCACCGGGGAUGGGUUCCCGCUUGACCUCGGGGCCGAGGUGGGCCGGAAGCGGAGGCCUGGGCCCCGCCGGCGCUGGAGGGGGAAGGCGAAACUCCGAGCGGGGCCAGUUCCUUUCCGUUCGGCUCCCUUGUCUCGCAUCCCCGGCGCGGACCCCGCCACCCCCCAGACCAGCUCGCAGAGGAUUCCGAAGCCUCAGCAUCCCUGGCCCUCUGUUCCAAACGCUCCAGAGUCGGACCACGCACCGAAUUGGAUAAAUUAGAGACCUCAGCCUGUGCUGAGCCUUUCCAUUCCUUCCCCCAGUCACUGGGCAGUGAGUUCCAAAGCGAGGCGGCAAUGUGCAGCCUUCGCUCCUUCUUCGGGAGGAUCCCCGCUUUCCGCGACCUGCUCCCAGCUGGGUUUGCCCCCCAAAAUGUAUUUUCCUCAUUUUGCAAAAUUCCGGCCCCGAUUUUAAUAUCACUGUGGGUAGAAGACUAGAGGUUCCCACUUAAAGAGUCCAAAACAAAACCAGGCGAAAGCAAGAGGAAACCACUGUUGGAUCUUCCCUCCUGCCUCUGUUUUUAACAGAAUCGAGUCCCAAACCACCUUCUUUUCUUUCCUCCCCAAAAAGAAGUGGCUUAAAAAGACA